UUGAUGAAUGUUGAUGAAAUAGCUUGAGUUUUGAUGAUUUAAACUGCAUAUGCAUGAUUUGCCUCUGUUUGGACCCUAGUUUUGGAUUUUUUAUCCCUAGUUUCUUGAAGAUUUCAUCAAAACACCCUGAUUGCAUCUCUUUUUCUUUUUUGGAACAGUCCUCAAGGUGAUGAACAUUUUNUUUUUCUUUUUUGGAACAGUCCUCAAGGUGAUGAACAUUUUUCUCAAUUUUUUCUUUUUUUCUCUCAACCUCUUCUUUUUCUUUUCUCUCCUCUUUCACAAUCUUUUCUUUUUCUUUUCUCUCAGCCUCACUUUUUCUUUCUUCUUCUCUCUCUUCUAACUCAACUUUUUC
rnacentral:lncRNA from 1 species